rnacentral:rRNA from 1 species
GACGAACGCUGGCGGCGUGCCUAAUACAUGCAAGUUGAGCGAUGAAGAUUGGUGCUUGCCCCAAUUUGAAGAGCAGCGAACGGGUGAGUAACGCGUGGGGAAUCUGCCUUUGAGCGGGGGACAACAUUUGGAAACGAAUGCUAAUACCGCAUAACAACUUUAAACAUAAGUUUUAAGUUUGAAAGAUGCAAUUGCAUCACUCAAAGAUGAUCCCGCGUUGUAUUAGCUAGUUGGUGAGGUAAAGGCUCACCAAGGCGAUGAUACAUAGCCGACCUGAGAGGGUGAUCGGCCACAUUGGGACUGAGACACGGCCCAAACUCCUACGGGAGGCAGCAGUAGGGAAUCUUCGGCAAUGGACGAAAGUCUGACCGAGCAACGCCGCGUGAGUGAAGAAGGUUUUCGGAUCGUAAAACUCUGUUGGUAGAGAAGAACGUUGGUGAGAGUGGAAAGCUCAUCAAGUGACGGUAACUACCCAGAAAAGGACGGCUAACUACGU